rnacentral:rRNA from 1 species
CGGAACGGGUGAGUAACACGUGAGUAACCUGCCCCCUUCCUUCUGGAUAACCGCAUGAAAGUGUGGCUAAUACGGGAUAUUCUGCGCCUGCUGCAUGGUGGGUGUGGGAAAGAUAUUGUUUCGGUGGGGGAUGGGCUCGCGGCCUAUCAGCUUGUUGGUGGGGUGAUGGCCUACCAAGGCGGUGACGGGUAGUCGGCCUGAGGGGGUGGACGGUCACACUGGGACUGAGACACGGCCCAG